rnacentral:rRNA from 1 species
AUUGAACGCUGGCGGCAGGCCUAACACAUGCAAGUCGAACGAGUGGCGGACGGGUGAGUAAUGUCUGGGAAACUGCCUGCUGGAGGGGGCUAACUACUGGAAACGGUAGCUAAUCCCGCAUACCAUCGGAUGUGCCCAGAUGGGAUUCGCUAGUAGGUGGGAUAACGGCUCCCCUAGGCGACGAUCCCAAGCUGGUAUUAGAGGAGGACCAGCCACACUGUAACUGAGACACGGUCCAGACUCCUACGGUAGGCAGCAGUGGGGAAUAUUGCACAAUGGGCGCAAGCCUGAUGCAGCCAUGCCGAGUGUAUGAAGAAGGCCUUCGGGUUGUAAAGUACUUUCAGCGGGGAGGCGUUACCCGCAGAAGAAGCACCGGCUAACUCCGUGCCAGCAGCCGCGGUAAUUC